AACGAACGCUGGCGGCAUGCCUAACACAUGCAAGUCGAACGAGACCUUCGGGUCUAGUGGCGCACGGGUGCGUAACGCGUGGGAACCUGCCUUUAGGUUCGGAAUAACUCCCCGAAAGGGGUGCUAAUACCGGAUAAUGUCUUCGGACCAAAGAUUUAUCGCCUUUAGAUGGGCCCGCGUAAGAUUAGGUAGUUGGUGGGGUAAAGGCCUACCAAGCCGACGAUCUUUAGCUGGUCUGAGAGGAUGAUCAGCCACACUGGGACUGAGACACGGCCCAGACUCCUACGGGAGGCAGCAGUGGGGAAUAUUGGACAAUGGGCGAAAGCCUGAUCCAGCAAUGCCGCGUGAGUGAUGAAGGCCUUAGGGUUGUAAAGCUCUUUUACCAGGGAUGAUAAUGACAGUACCUGGAGAAUAAGCUCCGGCUAACUCCGUGCCAGCAGCCGCGGUAAUACGGAGGGAGCUAGCGUUGUUCGGAAUUACUGGGCGUAAAGCGCACGUAGGCGGCGAUUC
rnacentral:rRNA from 1 species